rnacentral:rRNA from 1 species
GACGAACGCUGGCGGCGUGCUUAACACAUGCAAGUCGAACGGAAAGGCCCCGCUUUUGUGGGGUGCUCGAGUGGCGAACGGGUGAGUAACACGUGAGUAACCUGCCCUUGACUUUGGGAUAACUUCAGGAAACUGGGGCUAAUACCGGAUAGGAGCUCCUGCUGCAUGGUGGGGGUUGGAAAGUUUCGGCGGUUGGGGAUGGACUCGCGGCUUAUCAGCUUGUUGGUGGGGUAGUGGCUUACCAAGGCUUUGACGGGUAGCCGGCCUGAGAGGGUGACCGGCCACAUUGGAACUGAGAUACGGCCCAGACUCCUACGGGAGGCAGCAGUGGGGAAUAUUGCACAAUGGGCGGAAGCCUGAUGCAGCAACGCCGCGUGCGGGAUGACGGCCUUCGGGUUGUAAACCGCUUUCGCCUGUGACGAAGCGUGAGUGACGGUAAUGGGUAAAGAAGCACCGGCUAACUACGUG